rnacentral:lncRNA from 1 species
ACGAAGUGGGCCAGCCCCACCCCCCAAGGCUAUAGCCCACCCGUUUUUGUGGCCUUUUUCCGCUGGACGAACUUGGCACCCCGGCCUUCGGGCUCUUAUUUUUGGGCGCGGCUUUGUCCGCGUCCUAUUUUUGGCACACGGAGGCCGCUCACAAACUCUCGCGGCAUUCCGAGUCAGGCUGACGAAGUGGGCCACCCCCACCCCCCAAGGCUAUAGCCCACCCGUUUUUGUGGCCUUUUUCCGCUGGACGAACGUGGCGCCCCGGCCUUCGGGCAGUUAUUUUUGGGUACGGCUGUGCCCGUGGCCUAUUUUUGGCACACGGAGGCCGCUUGCAAAGUCUCGCGGCAUUCCGAGUCAGGCUGACGAAGUGGGCGAGCCCCACCCCCCAAGGCUAUAGCCCACCCGUUUUUGUGGCCUUUUUCCGCUGGACGAACUUGGCACCCCGGCCUUCGGGCUGUUAUUUUUGGGCGCGGCUUUGUCCGCGUCCUAUUUUUGGCACACGGAGGCCGCUCACAAAGUCUCGCGGCAUUCCGAGUCAGGCUGACGAAGUGGGCCACCCCCACCCCCCAAGGCUAUAGCCCACCCGUUUUUGUGGCCUUUUUCCGCUGGACGAAUGUGGCGCCCCGGCCUUCGGGCAGUUAUUUUUGGGUACGGCUGUGCUCGCGGCCUAUUUUUGGCACACGGAGGCGCCUCGCAAAGUUUCGCGCCAUUCCGAGUCCGGCGGACGAAGUUGGCCAGCCCCACCACCCAAGGCUAUAUGUUACAGCCCGGUUUGUUCCCACGCUAUGCCGUGCGGCCUUAGGUGCCAAAUUCACACUCUCGUGGCCCUAAGUCAGCCUUACACCCAAAUCCGUUGCUGGAUUCGAGAACCAGAAAGAGGAUUCACUCUAACUCAAUAAGGAUGGGAGAAAAUAACAGAUAUUGCUCGAUUGAAUGCUUACAAAGCCAUGUGUGCUGGAAUUGUAUAUUGCUUCUUAUUCAUUUGGCCAAAUGAGGCCCUCUUCUAUUGAUAGAGUACAAGGAAGUAUCUAGAGAGUCUCUAGAGUUAUCACAACUACCACCUAAGCACAUUAAUUACAUAGGAAAUAUCUACAUGCUCUACACAAGUCUCCAUAGCUCUAGAAUUCUCCAUGGGCCAGGCCAUGUGGAGGCUUGGGCCAUGACAUUCUCCCCCACCUAUUCCGAAGACAUCCUCGUCGACUCACUGUGGAAGGCUUUGAUCUUGUCUUGGAACUGCCACAAAUCGUUUGCGGCCUCCCAACUUGUUUCGCUCUCGGGUAGUCCCUUCCAUUUGACUAAGUACUCUUGGCACGGCGGAAAACUCUUCUUCUGAACGACACGGUCCGCCAAAAUGGUCUCCACUUCCUUGUCAUAUACCCUUGUGUUGCCGAGUGGAGGGCGCUUGGAUUCAUCCCUUUUCGGAUCUUCCGUAUCCCCAUGGUAUGGCUUCAGGGAACUCACAUGGAAGACCGGAUGAGUUUUCGCCAAGAGGGUAACUCUAGCUUGUACGACACACUGCCGACCCUCUUGAUGAUGGGAAAUGGUCCCUUCGUAUUUCCGAUGAGGCCCUUGUGCAGUGAACGUGUAGACUUGUGCUGGGCCGGAACGAUCUUGACUAGCACCAUGUCCCCCACGUUGAACUCCAAGUGUCUACGCUUGCUGUCCGCCCAUUUCUUCAUCCGCUUGGUUGCUUUGUCUAGGUGCGCCCGUGCUAUGUCCGUUUGCUCAUGCCACGACUUAGCCACUUUAUAUGCUGCAGGACACCUCCCGGUAUAGCUCGUGAUGAGCGUGUUUGGCGUAAGCGGCUGCUGUCCCAUGAUCACCUCAAAAGGGCUCCUCGAUGUAGCCUCGCUCCGCUGCAAGUUGUAGGAAAAUUGUGCCACGUCCAGCAACUUUGCACAAUCAUGCUGGUUGGCACUCACAAAAUGCCGCAAGUACAGCUCCAACAAGGCAUUCACCCUCUCCGUUUGCCCAUCGGUUUGUGGAUGAAAGCUCGUAGAAAAGUGCAGCGCCGACCCCAUAAGCUUGAACAACUCAGUCCAAAACUUGCCCGUAAACCGGCUGUCACGGUCGCUAAUGAUGGAUUUGGGAAGUCCCCAAUACUUCACCACGUGCCUAAAGAAAAGCUUGGCUGUGUCCUCCACUGUGCACUCCUUCGGGGCGGGAAUGGAAGUGGCAUAUUUCGAGAAUCUGUCCACCACUACAACAAUAGUUGCAAACCCCUCCGAUUUGGGAAGACAAGUGAUGAAAUCCAUCGAUAUACUCUCCCACGGUCGAUCCGGAGUGGGCAGUGGCUCAAGCAACCCCGCGGGACAUUGUUGCUCUGUUGUGUCCCGGGUGUCCAGCCCACUUCGUAUCAUGACACUCCUUGAUCAAGUUCCGCCGCAAGUUUCCCCACUUCGGAACAUAAACACGCCGUCCCUUGGUGUAUAAAAGGCCAUCUUCGACCCAAAACCUCUUCGAUUUCCCCUGUUGCACGAGAGAAACCAGCUGCUUGGCCAAGGAAUCAUGCUCCAUUCCCUCGUUGAUGAGUGCAAGAAGCUCUCCUUGUAUCCGACUUAUGGCAGCAAGCUCGGCCUUCCGACUCAAGGCGUCCACUACCAAAUUAGCCUUUCCGGGCUUAUACUCCAGCACGUAGUCGAAUUCGGCCAAGAAAUCUUGCCAUCUCGCUUGCUUCGGACUAAGCUUCUUUUGGCUUUGGAAGUAACUAGUGGCCACGUUGUCUGUCUUCACCACGAACUUGGACCCAAGCAAGUAGUGCCUCCAUGUGCGCAAGCAGUGCACUACCGCCGUCAUCUCUUUCUCUUGUACCGUGUACCGCCGCUCCGUAUCGUUGAGCUUUCGGCUCUCAAAGGCUAUCGGAUGUUCGGCCUGCAUCAACACCCCACCAAUAACAAAAUCGGAAGCAUCAGUGUGUACCUCAAAUGGUAAGUCAUGGUUCGGCAGCACAAGUACCGGCUCUUCCAUCACAGCCUUCUUGAGGGCAUCGAAGGCUUGCUGGCUCCUUUCCGUCCAUUCCCACUUGGUAGUCUUUUUGAGCAAAUCAGUGAGUGGUGCGGCAAUGGCGGAAUAACCUCUAAUGAACCUCCGAUAAUAGUUGGCAAGGCCUAAGAAAGAGCGCAACUCAGUCACCUUUGUGGGCGGCUCCCAUUCGGCAAUGGCUCAGACCUUGGCCUUGUCCAUGAGCAGCGUCCCAUCUCUGAUUUUAUGGCCAAGAAAAUCCACCUCCAGUUUUGCGAACGAACACUUCUCCCUCUUCACAUACAGCUCAUUUUCCCGCAACACCCCGAACACGACCCGCAAGUGCUCAGCAUGUUCCGCCAAGGUGUUGCUAUAGACUACGAUGUCAUCGAGAUACACCACCACAAACUGAUCAAGGUAUGGCUGGAAUAUGCGGUUCAUGAGCGUGCAAAAUGUGGCUGGAGCAUUGGUGAGGCCGAAAGGCAUUACCUUGAACUCGUACGCUCCAUACCUCGUCACACAAGCGGUCUUCGGCUCAUCUCCCUCCGCAAUCCGUACUUGGUAAUAUCCCGAUCUAAGGUCCAGCUUGGAGAAAUAUUUGGCCCGUCCAAGUUGAUCGAACAAGUCCGUGGGAUGGGGUAUUUGUUCUUCACGGUCACCUUGUUAAGAGCCCGGUAGUCGAUACAUAGUCGAAGUGAGCCAUCAUGCUUCUGCUGGAACAGCACCGGUGCUCCGUAUGGUGCUUUCGAGGGCUGGAUGUAUCCUGCGUCCAGCAGCUCCUUAAUUUGCCUCCGCAACUCCUCUAGCUCCGGUGGAGACAUGCGGUAAGGUGCUCGUGCAGGCGGUUUGGCACCCGGCUCCAGCUCAAUCUUGUGGUCUACUUCCCUUCGUGGCGGCAACCGCUUUGGCAACUCGGGUGGCAUUACGUCCUCAUACGCCUCAAGGACUUGGCCUACCGCCUCCGGUAUGGGCUCCAUGGCCAUAGUGUCCUUCCCGUCACCGACCUCAUGAAUGGUGGCGAGAAAUGUGUCCUCAUGCCGCUUGCAACCUUUGCUGAUUUGCAUGGCGGAAAGUUGGCCUGGUGGUGUGACCUUACUCGCGGUCGGGACCAAGCAUGGGGCUCCCUCUAGGAUACACAUUGAGUUGUACCUCAGAAGUGGCAACGCAUUGAACUGUCGCAAAAAUUCCAUGCCUAAAACAAGUGUAAAAUCAUCCAAAGGUACAACCGAGAAAUUGGCCUUACCUCGCCAAGGGUCUAGGUGUAGCUCCACAUCUCGCGCUACCCCGCUAAGUGGUUUGGCCUCCGAAUUCACCGUCUUGAGCCAGCCAUCCGAUUUCUCAACCUUGAGUCCAAGCCGCUUGGCUUCAUCCACCUUGAUGAAGUUGUGGGACGCUCCCGUGUCAAUCAAGGCUUGGGCUCGCUUUCCGUUGAUCGUAGCCUCAACGUGCAUGAGCGACUUGUCCUGCACCUUGGCUGGAAUUGGCUUGGCAUUAGCGCAUUGAAAAUUUGGAGACAACCCAUGUUGGCGGCAUCCGCUGGUGGUGCCUCCGGUUGCUUCUCCCCGGUCUCGCUAAACAUGGCGUUGAAAGCCUUCUUCUUUGGGCAGUCCCGCACCCAAUGGUCCCCAUCGCAAAGGAAGCAAUUGUGUUUCCGCUUAGCCUCCUUCUUGCCAUCCUUUGAACCAUCCUUCGGGCCAUCCUUCUUUUGUGGCUUAUCCUUGCCAUCAUGGUGCCUUUGCCAUGUUGCGGCUUAUCAUCCUUCUUCGGCUUGGAAGACUCACCCUUCCGGAAUUCCACAAGCGUGUCAGCCUCGGUGAGGGCUGUAGAGAUGUCAUUCACUUGGCGCCGCUGCAACUCCCGUUGUGCCCACGGCUGGAGUCCCUCCAUGAAGUUGAACAGCAAAUCAUCUGUGUUCAUGUUGUCGAUUUGGAGCAUGAGCUUCGAGAAUUCAUCGGCAUACUUUGAGAUAGGCCCCGUGUGCUUCAGCUCCCGCAUCUUCUUACGAGCCUCAUAUGUCACAUUCCCUGGAUAGAAUUGCCUCUUGAGCUCGCACUUCAGCAAGUCCCAUGUGUUGAUGAUGCACGUCCCACGCACAAUCUCUGCAUGCUUCCGCUGCCACCAAGCGGUCGCGUGAUCCUCAAGGUACUCGGUCGCAAUGUUCACCUUCUCUUGCUCACCUUGGAUGUUGGUGGCCUCGAAGUACCUCUCCAUGGACCACAAGAAGUUCUCGAUCUCCUGGGCAUCCCGCUUGCCCCCGUACCUCCUUGGCCUCGGAACCUCGACCCUCAUUGGAGGUGCGGCAUUGGUGUUGAGCACCCCACUGGCCACCGCCUUCUUGCAAAGCGCCCAAUCCAUCUUAGUCUCUUCAAGGCCCGUGUGAAGCUCCUCCACUUGAGCCCUUAGCGCCUCAAUAGAGUUCAGAACCACCGCUUGGAACUCCUCAAGGCUUUGGCGUUGCGCCACCACAUCUUGGCUUAGAUCGCCCAUCCGCUCACCAAGAUCAUCCACCUCCUCCAUCUUUUGCUCAAAGAUCUCGAGGCGUUCUUUAAUCUCGGCGACAGCAAUCUCCCCACGGACAACCCGAUUCUCCAUGGCGUUGAGCAAGUCCACUGACUUCUCCUUGCUGUUUUUCCCCUUUUUCGCAUUGGGGUUAGGCUCCCUCCCCCUUUGGUCAUCAUGAGUGCUCUCCGACAUCCUUCCUUUCGAACAACGCAACUACCCACGAGUGUAGAUGGCUCUGAUACCAACUGUCACGGCCCGGUUUGUUCCCACGCUAUGCCGUGCAGCCUUAGGCGCCAAAUUCGCACUCUCUUGGCCCUAAGUCAGCCUUACACCCAAAUCCGUUGCUGGAUUCGAGAACCAGAAAGAGGAUUCACUCUAACUCAAUAAGGAUGGGAGAAAAUAACAGAUAUUGCUCGAUAGAAUGCUUACAAAGCCAUGUGUGCUGGAAUUGUAAAUUGCUUCUUAUUCAUUUGGCCAAAUGAGGCCCUCUUCUAUUGAUAGAGUACAAGGAAGUAUCUAGAGAGUCUCUAGAGUUAACACAACUACCACCUAAGCACAUUAAUUACAUAGGAAAUAUCUACAUGCUCUACACAAGUCUCCAUAGCUAUAGAUUUCUCCAUGGGCCAGGCCAUGUGGAGGCUUAGGCCAUGACAUAUAGCCCACUCGUUUUUAUGGCCUUUUUCCGCUGGACGAACUUGGCGCCCCGGCCUUCGGGCGGUUAUUUUUGGGCGCGGCUGUGCCCGCGGCCUAUAUUUGGCACACGGAGGCGCCUCGCAAAGUCUCGCGCCAUUCCGAGUCCGGCGGACGAAGUUGGCCAGCCCCACCCCCCAAGGCUAUAGCCCACCCGUUUUUGUGGCCUUCUUCUGCUGGACGAACUCGGCGCCCCGGCCUUCGGGCGGUUAUUUUU